AUGGACAUAACCCGAGGUGGUGGGGUUAAUGCCCAGAACGCAGUGGAUCAAGGAAGAGCGCGUCGGGAGGCUGAGUUGGCGGCUCAGUAUGCAGCUUGUCAGCAUUCCCCGGUUCGUCUGACAACUUCGGUGGAGACAUGGGUGACUUUUAGGACUUUGGGUGUGCCGUGUUUGGCUCCGGCUCUACGUAACGUACGAUCGCCCAAGGAUUUCAAGGGUCCCCGUAAGGUGCCCAACUACACUGCCGACUUACCCCCUGAAACAUGGGCUGAGAGUUAUGAGAUGGCGAUGGAACCGCUGUAUGUUGACGAUGUUGCAUGUGCUAAGUAUUUCACCAUGAUGUUGGAAGGGACGGCUCGUACUUGGUUGAAAGGGUUGCCAGCCAACUCCAUUGGGUCAUGGGCCGAGUUAAAAGCUCGGUUUAUCCAGAAUUUUAAAGAUACAUGCAAGUGA
rnacentral:rRNA from 1 species